rnacentral:rRNA from 1 species
ACGCGCAGAACCUUACCAACNNNUUGACAUCCUGUGCUACUACCAGAGAUGGUACGUUCCCUUCGGGGACGCAGUGACAGGUGCUGCAUGGCUGUCGUCAGCUCGUGUCGUGAGAUGUUCGGUUAAGUCCGGCAACGAGCGCAACCCACAUCUUUAGUUGCCAGCAGGUUAAGCUGGGCACUCUAGAGAAACUGCCCGUGAUAAGCGGGAGGAAGGUGUGGAUGACGUCAAGUCCUCAUGGCCCUUACGGGUUGGGCUACACACGUGCUACAAUGGCAGUGACAAUGGGUUAAUCCCCAAAAGCUGUCUCAGUUCGGAUUGGGGUCUGCAACUCGACCCCAUGAAGUCGGAAUCGCUAGUAAUCGCGUAACAGCAUGACGCGGUGAAUACGUUCCCGGGCCUUGUACACACCGCCCGUCACACCAUGGGAGUUGGUUCUACCCGACGACGCUGCGCUAACCCUNNGGNG